GUGCGUUUGUGCGCGCGCAUCUCUGUCCGUCUCUCUUAGUAACCAGGAGUACCACAUUACUAUUAGCGGCUUGCGCUUGUGUCCGCAGGCCACAACAGCGGCGCAGCAAGUCCUUUUUACCAUGAUGCGUCGUCGCUGCGGCGCCACCGGUGGGGUCCUCGGCGCCGAGGCGGCCGCCGGAUCGCUUACGGCUCUCUCAUUUUAUCCGGUUCAGAGGGCGUCGUGCCGCGCACAGAGCAGCAACCAGGGUGGUGGCGGUGGAAGCGGGGCUGGACGUGGCCUUCACACCUUCAUUCGUGAUAAUGCUGACCCCACCUCCUCCUUUCCCACCCCGUCGACGGUUGCCGCUCGUGACAGAGGCGGUAGCAGGCGCGGUGCAGCUGGUGCCUCACACACCAUGAGCUCUUCGGGUAGUUCAGUGCCGCCACCACCUCACACCUCCUCGUUCGGUGCUGAUGUUGAGUUGCCCAUGUCCGACUGGGCAUCACGGCUGCAGCGGGAGCUGAUGAGCCCUGUCGAUCCCCUCGGUGGGCUAGCGCACAAGGACUACUACCGCGACCCGGCAACCGGCUAUGCGCCGCAGUACGCACCGCGCGACUUUGUGCACGGUGGGAGUAUUGCCUAUCCCCAUAUGCAGGGCAGCGGAAGCGCCCACGACUCGUAUGCGGCGGCAGCGGCGCGCCGCAACUGGCUGGAGCACGAUGUGGCAUCUACGGCUUUCACGUCGCAAGCCGCCCGUGCGACGGCGCGACAACUGAGCAGCGACGCAGAGCGUGAAACGUUCACGCAGCGUCACAUGCCCGCUGAUCGCCACCGCAGCGCGUUUCUGGGCAACGCCUCACUCGCGGCCAUGGACCAGCUGCGGACGAGUGGGCCACAGAGUGACGAGAAGGUGUAUCAGCAGGCGAUGCUGGAUCGUUACCGUGCCGCCGCCACGUCGUCAUCCUCCUCCGCCGCUCCUGGUGUGUCGUACACCGCUGCCACCGGCCUCAGUGGAGGCGAACUUGUCGACGCGCUGGCAGAAGACUAUGCCGCCGCCAUGGAUGACGGCAUGGAUGAGGAGCUGCGCAUCGCCCACGGCCUGCGCGCAAAGGAGCGCUUCGACUUCAAGGUCAUGCAACGCACAUCGCGCGUUCCCUUCCAGGGCUACGACAUGGAUCGCUUCGCGGCGCAGCGCGAAGGACGCUCGCACGGUGCGCAGCAGCUGCCACCUGUCAUCCCGCCUUCGUCCAUGGAGGAGGCGAUGAAGAACAUGCGGGGCGGCACGGCGGCGCUGCCCGACACGGAGGCUCAGGCCUGGCAGACCUACGCGCAGAACACCACCUCCGAGGAGCCGAAGCUCGGCGAAGCGCUGACGGGCGACGUCAUCAAUAGCCUACACGCACGCCGCCGGAGUAUGCAAGAUGCAAAGGAGCAGGCUCGCAAGCAGCGCUUCGGUCUCGGUCGGCAAGGCGCGCUUGUGCAGGACGGUGGGCCGGACAGGCGAACGCUCAAGAAGCACACGAACGAUGAGCGGCUGCUUGACGCGGCCAAUUUUGCCUCUGGCGCGUAUCGCCGGACGAUCACGGACGAACACGUUGACCCGUACGUGCGGCGCAGCACGGAGACAGGCGUCGGGCAUCUUCUCACCAACCGCUUCGACAUGGCGCGUCGAGAGGACCGCGUCGCGCACGGACAGCAGGAUCUGACAGAGCGCAACACGGUCCACUACGGCGUCCCCAUUCAGCAGUCGAUCGACGAGUUUGUCUUUUCGCACCGCAACGCGCGCGGCGAGCGUCCGCUGGACUACUUCAAGCCCUUCCCUGACUUUCGCGCUCAGCGGCUCUUCCGCAUGUACCGCGACAUUGAAGGCUUCUCCCUCUUGAAGCAGCGUCCUGAGGCCUUCGAGUGGGAGCUGUUUACUCGCUACCGAGCGCACCACCAACAGCGACGCGAGCUGGCGCUCCUGCAUGGGCUGGAGCCGGUCGCGAACGAAACGGCGGCUGAGCGGACGACGCGGCGACUCGCCCUGGACGAGCUGUGUGAGAAGACGCCGUUCGACUCAUCCAAGCUGCGUCUCAACGAUGACGAGGUUAAGAUGGACGCUGAGACGCUGCGCAACUGGUUCGGUGUGUACGUGCUGCCCUCUCCCACAAUUGUUGAGUCUGUCGUGCGCGCGGAGGGCGGGGCGCUCAACCUGCACCUGCAGCACGCCGCAGAUGAGAUGAACACGGCCGACACACGCGAGCACAUCCUCAGUAGCCGCUACAUGAAUCGCCUGCUGUUGUUUGAAGGCUUCCAGCACCGCUGGAACCGCGGCUUCACGAAAGAGGUGGCUGGCAAGGCGCCGGAGCCGGUCAUCAAGUACGCCCAGCCGCAGGAGGUCCUCAAAUAUUUUGACGCCGACGAACGUGCCAUGUACCAGCAGUACGUGCAGCAGGAGUCGGACGCGCAGCUGAGCGAGUGGGCGAAGGUGACGCGCGGCCGCCGCUACAUCGCUGAGAAGGAGCAGUACGGCGAGGUGGCAGCGCAGGGCUAUAAGGUGCCCGUGGUGGACGUGCAGCACCAAGAGACAGGUGCCGUGCUCACCGUGUCAGCGAAGUUGCUUGAGAAGAGCGCGGCGGCUGCGCUGGCCGACAAAGAACCCGCAGGCGGCGGCAGCAGCAGCCGCACAACGUCGUCUUCGUCGUCGAUGGUGCGCUUCGAUGGUCAGUCGUACUUUGUUUUGCCGGGCAGUAAACGCACCGUGACGCCGCUGUCCAUCCGGCUCGAGUCGGGCGAGCCCAUGGAGAUGACAGAUGAGGUCUUUUCCGCGUACCCGCUGGAGGUGCCGGCGAGUGCCAAGUACAAUCACGCCUUGAACUACGGCAUUGGCGAGUACGACUACAACCGCGGCAACUACAUCGAGACCCAGGACGCGAUCUGGGAGAAGGCGACGGCGGAUCAAGAGGAGGGGUGGUCGCCCGCGACGCAUGCGGACGGGCUUUGCCCAGGGUUGCCGGUGCGCGCGCGCCGGCGACUCGCCGCUGCAGGAGAGGACAAGACCGGGGCCGCCAUCACCGGCGACUUUCAGCGAGGUCGCAUUGUUCAGUAUUAUCGGCAGCCCUUCUUCAACCCCGACCCGCGACUCGUGACGGUGGCCUUCUACGCCGACGGUGUUGUGCAGGAGGUACCGCUGGCUGACGUUAUGAUCUGGCAGCGCCGCUACCACGGCCCGGAGCGCACGGUCGGCGACGAGUCUCGCCGGUACAACCCCGCAGGUCUGCGCCGCUACAUCGACGUUGCCGACCCCAACAACGAGAAGGCGUCGCCCAGUUCGUCUGUCGGUGCGGGCGCUGACGGCGCGGAUGACCACUUCCUGGAGAAGUACGAGGGGCGCCUCACGAACAACGCUGCCGCUGCCAGGUACCGCACAACGAAGCAGAUCACGGAGAUCGAUCAAUGGAACCGCUUCGACACAUCGCGGGCGGACAACCACCGUCCUCUCUCCAUCUCGCACCGUCGCGACUACGUCCGCCAAGGCUACCUGCCACGGUACACGCCGUGGGAAUGGAUCGUCAUCCAAGAGGCGGAUCAGCCCAUCAUCCACGAAACGAUGCGCACCGACAACAUCGGUGCCAGCUACUUCUUCUCCCUUAACCGCUCGUGGCGUUACAAGGCUCGCCCGCACGGGUACCUGCGCAACUACGAGAACGAGGUGCGCGACAUGCUGCAGUUCGUGGACGGAGUCACGCCGUGGAAGCAAGCGCAGAAGAUUCGCACCUACUGGGAGGUCCGCCAGCAUCACCCGAUGCCGCAAUUCAACCGCCCGGAGGUGGCAAUGCACCGUAACAGCGCUGGCCUGCUGCCCUCGCACAUGUGGGAGACAGACAAGAAGACGGGCAAGGUGCGUGCUGUCAAGGACUCGGUGCGCGACUACCAGACCAAGAUACCGGUGCCGAAGUGGGUGCAGCUGUGAGGGUAGUGCAAAAGAGCGAGACAUAUCUUCGUGUGCGUAUGUCUGUGCGUAUGUGUGUGUGUGCGCGCGUUGUCGCGCGUGGGUUUGCGGGCUUCGCGUCACUGUUGUUUCUAAGGCUAAGUGGAAACCGUUGCUUUCCAAAGUCCUCGUCUUUUCUUCGUACCCUUGGCCCAUCCGCCUCAACUGAGCGAGAAUGUGGACGACGAUGGAUGUAUGGAUGAAUGGAGUGCUGCUCGUGCUCUUUGUCUUCCUCAUUCUCUCUGUCGCACGCCGAGCACGCUCGCCUCGGUGGACUCUACGAAGGGUAGCUCACGGCCAAGCGAAGAUGGCGGAGGAGACGAUUAUGGUGGCCUCCGUCGUGGUGGAGGGGGCUCGAACUACGUGGGCGAUCGGGGCUGAAGGACACACCGGCUUGUUGUUGUUGCCACGUUCGCCUGCGUUGUGUGCGUGAGUGUGCUCGGCGUGGGAGUGGGGUGGAGUGGAGCGGAGUGGGGGGCAGGAAAGUGACAUGUGGCGGUGCCGCUGAGUUGGCCCCCACUGACUAAUGCCGCAGGCGUCCAAUCGAACGCAAGGAAAACAGAAAAGAGCG
rnacentral:misc_RNA from 1 species